rnacentral:miRNA from 1 species
AUGAGCGACUGUGCCUGACC